ensembl:lncRNA
AUGGAAUUGAAAGGCACAGACAGAAUAAUCAGCAGACUCUCACCAUGCAAGUGCCAAUACCACUGAGUAAUGAAAAGGAAAGCGUGGGUGAUACGUGCACGAGUGGAUGGACCUUCAGAUAUUAUACUAAGUAGUUUUAAGCCAAUUUCAAAAAGAACCACCCACAUGCGCAUGCGUGUGUGUAUAGCUGGUGAACACUCGGUCAGCUCUAUGGAUCGUUCCAAUGCCAGCAUCAUAAUGCUAACGUUUCAGUCUAGAUCUGUGAGGUGCUGAUGUUGCUGGAGGAGGGUGAAGAGUAUAUGGGGCCUCUUGUACACCUUUUCUACAAAUUCCUCGGUAGACAAAACUGAGGAAAGGCUCCAAUAGGGGAGGACCUGAAUCCAGGCAACUGCUUCUCUGUGAAAAAAUGGCAUCACUCAGGACGCUUCCCAAGAAAUAUUUGAGCAGAACCGAAGCUGAAGAAUCGUGUUGCCGCCCUUUGCAUCCAUGGCUUCCUCUGGUGAUGAGUUUCUCCCAGCGAGCAGAAAUCACCACUUGGCCACCAUUAAGCAAGUGCUCAUAAACAAAGUCUAAACUCUACUACAAUAAGGUUUGCGUGGAAGGAGAAGAGGAAUUUUUACAAAGCACCAUAUGCAGCAGAAAUGUCUCUAAAUACAGUCUGAGGUGAGAAGGAAGAUCAGGGGCAUCUUCAAGUCCAGUGUAGAGCAGCACAUGACCUUGGUUUUGGCCAAUUAUUCAUCCUUUCACUAACACAAUUAAUGUUGGUAAGAGCCUAGGUGGUCAACGAGGUAACCAUAUAAAUAGAAAGAAAGCAAUUCAUUUCCCCUGCUAUCAAAGGGGGGCUAUUUCUGUAAUAGGUACUUUCCUGAACCAGAAAUUAUUAUACCAGUCAACACAGAAAGUACUGAGCAAUUUCAGUUUCAUUAUCUUGUUUAGUUUUGGCAACAAUCCUUUAAAGCAGGUUAGACCUGAGGUCCAGACAGGCUAAAUAACUGGUUCCAAAUCACACAGAUAUUUGAAAGAAAAGCUGGAAAUUGAGAUCAGAUCUCUAUGAUGAUAAAACUUACUCUGCACUAUGUCACUAUUGCAGAUUCCAUGAGAUUUCAGAGCACAAAGGGAUUGGUUGGGAUUUAAAAUGUUCAAAAUUUGAGCUCUCAGCUCACAAAUUCUUUCAGUCCAAAAAGAGUUGCUGCAGUACAGUAACUAUUUCCCUUGUGCCAAAAACAUUGGUCCUCUUGGUCCCGAUUCCCUAGAACCUACAGAUAAUCAUGGGCAGACUUCAGUGGGAACAUCAUGGGUUGUCAGCUGUGUCAGAGAUGGACAUUUGUAGGUGCUCCCCUGCAUCAGUGGAGCUUGGCAAAUCUGAGCACAAAUAGAUGAAAGUGGAAGGGGUUUUGUGUUUGGAGCCCAUUUAGAUUUUGGUUUACCUCUUGGCUACAUCAUUGGCUAUGUGACCUGGGUCACUUUCCAUAAUCUUGCAGAACCUCCUCUUCCUUCAUCUGUAAAACAGAUUCUAGUACCUCUCCUCCCAAGGGCCCAUUUUAUGGGCUGAGUGCAUAGAACCUGUUGACUGCUCCAGAGAUCCAUCAUGAUGAGUUAUCGCCCCUUUCUCUGUCUGAGUCCUGAGUCUAGAGCCAUUCAACUCUGACUUCUUCUAGCCCACAGAUUUUAGGUUCCUCUGGCUCUGACGUAAACAAGGCUGAGAAGAUCAGCUCUCUAAUUUUCAAGGCACAUGUGCCUGAGGGUCUUCAUAAGGGGACAUUUUGUCCUGAAAAGGUGAAUGGGUUUGCAAAGUUGACUGGACCUUAAUUGCAGACAAGGAAUUUCAGAAAACCCUGAGCCAAUUUUCAAGAGAGAAGAGUGACUUUCCAAACACAGAGUUAGAUUAUGGAGAAAUAUAAGAUUAUGUGUGCAACCCUGAAUGUGAGCCUGUGAUGAUGUUAGAGAUAUGGAUUUCUCUCAUUUCUUUAAUAAAAUCUGGUACCUAUCCCACAUUCUAGGCCUUGUGCUCAGCCACCCCACGAGUUAUCAGUUAUCCACACAGGGCCUGGCCUGAUGGCCUCUUGGGGUAGACAGGGAUGUGACUAUCUAGGUCCCAUAUUCUUUCUACUGCUAACUUGGGCUCAGAUAAAGCUACCUACAAAAGAUGCAGUGAUAGUAAUUUUAUAAUAAAGCUGAUGCCCAAAUGCACUGAUUGCUUUCUGGAGCUCUCUAUGUGUCUCCCUGGUCCUACUUCCUGUGUCACAUUCCCUUCACAUGCCUCAUCCUCCUGCGUUUGCUACGAAGACCAGUGGAUAAAUUCUCACCAGAGCCUCAAGCUGCAGGAAAAAGAGAAGUGAAUAUUCAUCUCUGGUGACAUGCAAUUGGUCUACCUUCCUGGAUGUGGGGAUAAGAAUAUAGAGCAACAGUCAUUUAUUUUCUUGAGUUCCAAAAAUCACUGUGGGUGGUGACUAUAGCUAUGAUAAUAACAGAUGCUUGCUCUUUGGAAUAAAAGCUAUGACAAACCCAGACAAUGUAUUAAAAAGCAGAAAC